GAUGAAGAACGUAGCGAAAUGCGAUAAGUAAUGUGAAUUGCAGAAUUCAGUGAAUCAUCGAAUCUUUGAACGCACAUUGCGCCCGCCAGCACUCUGGCGGGCAUGCCUGUCCGAGCGUCAUUUCAACCCUCGCGCCGUCCCUCCAGGGGGCUCGGCGCGGUGUUGGGGGACACGGCCCCGGCCGCCCCCGAAAUGCAGUAGCGACCCCGCCGCGGCCCCUCCAGCGCAGUAAGCACGCUCGCUACGGGAGGCCCGGUGGACGCGUCCGCCGUAAAACGCCCAACUCUUCAGAAGUUGACCUCGGAUCAGGUAGGGAUACCCGCUGAACUUAAGCAUAUCAAUAAGCGGAGGA
rnacentral:misc_RNA from 1 species